rnacentral:misc_RNA from 1 species
UUUCCGUAGGUGAACCUGCGGAAGGAUCAUUAAAAAAUAUCGCUCGAUUGAGAGUGAUUUAAUAAUCAUCCUACCCUUUGUGAAUUUGUUGUUGUAAUAAUUUUUUUUGAUUUAAAAAAAAUUAUUUAUGGUUUGUCUAUCCCUAAAAUUGGUUUGCUGUGAAAUGAAUCAAUUUAGGGAAUAGGCUUUCAUAAAUAAGUUUUUUUAAAGUCUUAAAGACCUUUUUUAAAAUUAAACUUUUGUAUUCAUUUGUCUAAAUUUUUUAAAUAAUUUAAAGACAACUUUGACAAUGGAUCUCUUGGUUCUCGCAACGAUGAAGAACGCAGCAAAAUGCGAUAAGUAAUGUGAAUUGCAGAAUACGUGAAUCAUCAAAUCUUCGAACGCAUAUUGCACUUUUUUAGUUUACUAAAAAAGUAUGUCUGUUUGAGUAUCAGUAAAUAUUCUCAUAAAACAUUUUUGUUUUAUGGUUAUGAGUGUUUACAACGAUAAACAAGUUGUUCACUUUAAUUCAUUUUAAUUUAAGACCAUUUAUGGUUUUAAUAAAAAUUGGAUAAAAUUUCCCGUAAAAGGAAUAAACUUUUCAGUUUUUAAUUAUUACCAACAACGGUCCGAUUUAAAAGGAAAUUUAUUUAAAUAACUUGAUCUCAAAUCAGAUAAGAGUACCGCUGAACUUAAGCAUAUCAAUAAGCGGAGGAAAAGAAACUAACAAGGAUUCCCCUAGUAACGGCGAGUGAAGCGGGAAGAGCUCAAAUUUGAAAUCUUCAAGGUUCUACCUUGACGAAUUGUAGUUUAAAGAAGUGUUUCUGUUAGAUGAGUAGCAAAAGUUCCUUGGAAUGGGACAUCAUAGAGGGUGAGAAUCCCGUAUUUGGUUAUUCAUUCUAGCUUUGUGAUACACUUUCAAGAGUCGGAUUGUUUGGGAAUGCAGUCCAAAAUGGGCGGUAACUUCAUCUAAAGCUAAUAUUGGCGAGAGACCGAUAGCGAACAAGUACGUGAGGGAAAGAUGAAAAGAACUUUGAAAAGAGAGUUAAACAGUACGUGAAAUUGUCAAAAGGGAAGCGUUUGACACCAGUGUUGUUUUCCCAAAAUCAAUUACGAAUGGCUUGAUUUUGUGUUGUAUGACCUUAUCAGCUUUCUGCACUUUUUCGAGUCUUUCUUAAUGCACUUUUGGUUAACAAGUCAACAUCAAUUUCUUUUGUUGUAAAGAGUAUUCGGAAGGUGGCUUUCUUUCGGAGAAAGUGUUUAUAGCCCUAUACUUCUACAAUCGGAGAGAUUGAGGUCUGCAGCGUAGAUCCUUCGGGUUAGAUACACUUGUGCUAAGUUGUAGCUUUUCAUAGACAACUUGUUGACUAUGUUUAGUCAUGCGGCUUACUCGCUUGUGCUAUUU